ACUAUGGCGCUACACUAACUCCACUCUAGACCUGGGCUACCCACGAAACUCAAAGACGACGUUUGUGGAAACGCCUCUGGCAGCCUUGUCAACAUACGAUGCCAGAGGAAAAAUUUUAGUUCUCUUCUUCGGGAAAACUUUAACAUGGCGAUGGAAUCCUGUUUCUGAAAUGAUGAAUGGAAAUUAUAAUUUAAUAUCAAUCCACUGGCGUCAUGUACCCCCUCAGUUCGACGCUGUUGUUUAUUGGUGGGACAAUUACAUUUAUUUCUUUAAAAAGAGCAAGUACUAUAAAGUGAAUUUCUACACUAGAGAGCUACUUGCCAACUAUCCGAAACCAACAGCCCCUUCAUGGUUCAAAGGUGAAUGCGGAGUAGCUCCGAAAUAAAGUCAUUUCAUUGAUGAACACCUAUGUGUUACUAUAAUUUUUUGCAAGCUUUUUACAUCAGCUCACUCUGUCUGUUUGUCUGUCUGGUAAGAGUUUGAACACGUUAUUUUUCCCACACCCAUACUUAAAAAGGAAACUAAACCUCCAGUAGUCAUAGACAUGGCUAAAUAUGUGUGGGUUUUGUCCCUUUAGAUUAUUGUAUACAUUAUUUCUACCACAUCCAUUCUCGGAUCAAGUUGAAACGUUACACAAUUAUUUAUUGUACUCAACAAAACAUGAAUGAAUUAAAAAUCAAACAAUUAGCUAACUAAUUAUUUUGU